rnacentral:rRNA from 1 species
UACGUAGGGUGCGAGCGUUAAUCGGAUUUACUGGGCGUAAAGCGUGCGCAGGAGGCCCGUUAAGACAGGUGUGAAAUCCCUGGGCUCAACCUAGGAAUUGCGCUUGUGACUGGCGGGCUCGAGUACGGUAGAGGGGGGUGGAACUCCUGGUGUAGCAGUGAAAUGCGUAGAGAUCAGGAGGAACACCGAUGGCGAAGGCAGCCCCCUGGGCCUGUACUGACGCUCAUGCACGAAAGCGUGGGGAGCAAACAGG